rnacentral:rRNA from 1 species
GAGGCAGCAGGGGGGAAUCUUGGGCAAUGGGCGAAAGCCUGACCCAGCGACGCCGCGUGGGGGAAGAAGGCCUUCGGGUCGUAAACCCCUGUUCUGGAGGAAGAACCCAGGAUAGGUGAAUAACCUAUCCUGGCUGACGGUACUCCAGGAGAAAGCCACGGCUAACUGCGUGCCAGCAGCCGCGGUAAUACGCAGGUGGCGAGCGUUGCCCGGAAUUACUGGGCGUAAAGGGUGCGUAGGCGGCCGGACAAGUCAUAGGUUAAAGCCCGGAGCUCAACUCCGGAAAGGCCUAUGAUACUGUCUGGCUUGAGGGCCGGAGAGGCUGGCGGAAUUCCCGGUGUAGGGGUGAAAUCCGUAGAUAUCGGGAGGAACACCGGUGGGGAAGCCGGCCAGCUGGACGGUUCCUGACGCUGAGGCACGAAAGCGUGGGGAGCAAACCGGAUUAGAUACCCGGGUAGUCCACGCCGUAAACGAUGGGCGCUAGGUGUGGGGGUGAAAGCCUCUGUGCCGUAGCUAACGCGUUAAGCGCCCCGCCUGGGGA